CGAAUAGAAAGCAGGGUUUGGAAGGUGUUGGGAAAGAAGGUCUGUUGAUUUUUCUUCCCUUUAACUUCAUUUUCAUACAGCAUGAAAUUCUGUGAUGAAAGAGAUAAAAUGAUGAGAAUUGUGAACUAACAGUCUCCUCUUGCAAACAGCACAAACUGUGCCCAUGUUAAAUUCAUUUCAAAACUGCUUCAUCUACCUUGAGUAUAAUAUUUCCUUUCAGAGCCUAUCACAUACAACACUGUAGUAGCAACCAUCUCCAGAAAAGAGAGGCAUGAAGAAAAGAUUGAGAGAUGAAAUAUGGAAUCUCAUUUUUAAUUUUCUGUAUUUGGUUAGAUACAUUUAAAAAAAAAAAAAAAGAUAUCAAGAAUAUCAAGAACUUGAUAGACUAUUUUUGUCUUCUGUUUUUUUUUUCUAAUGCGGUGAAGCUGUGAGAAUUUAAUUAUUUUUCUGAAAAGUAAAACUGGAGGGUUUUAGCACUUGAAGUUAAUUUCUGACUAAUUUCAAGACUGCGAAUGGGAAAGGCGGAAACAACAUACUUGGAAAUGCUUAUUGCUCCAAGCAAAUAUUUUAAAUAUUUCAAGAGCCUUUUUGACAGCUGAAGUGUGAAGAUGAAAAUGUAUUUUUAAUAGUUGAAGUGAACAUUGUAUGUUAUACAUGGUCAAUAGCAGAACAGUAGAUAUUUCUUGAUGGUUAUCAGACAUUCUGGGAAGAAAAUAACUGACCAUCUGAGCUAAUAGUAGAUGGAAAUGGACUGUUUUUUGAAAAGCUACACUGAUUGUUUAUGUUGACUUUAUAAACUAUGUAUAUGCCUUUGGCCUAAGGAAACAUGAGAACCUUGAGCUUCAGGAAGAACGCUGCUGUUUGUUUAAUAGAACAGAUUGGGACAAGAGGGCUGUAAAUAUGAAAUCACUUCCUGUAACGUCUGUGGACAACAUAGCUGCUUUCCAUCAUAUUUGAAAGUUGUGGCUGUCAGACAAAGUCCCCAGUGACAGAAAAAAGAGAAAUGUUCCCAUCUUCAAGAAGGAAAAAAGGAAGACUCGGGGAACUACAGCCCAGUGAGCCUCACAUCUGUGCCUGGAAAGAUCAUAGAGCACAUCCUCUGGGAAGACAUAUCAAGGCACAUGCAAGAUAAGGAGGUGAAGCAAGACAGCCAUCACAGCUUCAGCAAGAGCAGAUUGUGCCUGACCAAUCUUGUGACCUUCUAUGGCGAAGUGAUGGCAUUGGUGGACAAAAGAAUGGUAACUGAUGUCGUCUACCUGGAUUCUGCAAGGCCUUUGACAUGGUCCAGCACCACAUCCUUAUGUCAAAAUUGGAGACAUAUGGAUUUGAAGACUGGACUAUUAGAUGGAUAAAUGGUUGGGUGAUUGUAGCCAAAAGGUUGUUGUCUGUGGCUCUAUGUCCAGGUGGAGGCUGAUCACAAGUGUUGUCCCUAAGGGGGUCCAUCUUCAGACUGAUGCUCUUCAACAUCUAUACCAACAACAUAGGCCGUGGGAUCAAGUGUACCCUUAGCAAGUGUGCUGAUGACACUAAGCUGAGUAGUGCAGCUUAUACAGUAGAAGGGAGAGAUGACAUCCAGAAGGACCCAGACACUUUCAAAAAGUGAGCGCACAAGAAUUUAAUAAGGUUUAACAAGGCCAAGCGCAAGGUGCUGCACUUGGCUUGAGGUAAUUCCAGAUAUGGAUACAAAGUGGGAGAAGAACUCCGUGGGUGCAGCUCUUCAGAGAAGGACUUGGGGGUUCUGAUGGAUGAAAAACUUAACUUGAGUCAGCAGUGUACUCUUGAAGCCUGGAAGGCCAACAGUAUCCAGGAUUCCAUCGGAAGAGGGGUGGACAGCAGGGAAAGGGAUAUGAUUGUCCCUCUCCAUCCGGCCCUUGUGAGUUCCCAGCUGGAGUAGAGCAUCCAAGUCUGAGGCCUCCAACACAGGAAAGUUGUGAUGCUUUUGCAGAGUCCAGAGGAGAGCCACAAAAAUGAUCCAUGGACUGGAACAUCUCUCCUAUGGAGAUAGUCUGAAGGAACUGGGCUUCUUCAGCUUGCUAAAGAAAAGACUGCAGGGAGACCUCAUUGUGGCCUCCCAGUAUUUAAAGGAAGUUUAUAAACAUGAGGGAAAUCAACUUUUUACAUGGGUAGAUAGUGAUAGGACAAGGGCCAAUAGUUUUAAACUAAAGGAAGGAAGAUUUAGAUUUAGAUUAGAUGUCAGGGGAAGUUUUUACCGAGAGAGAUGUGAGGUGCUGGAACAGGUUGCCCAGAGAGGUUAUGGAUGCCCCAUACCUGGAGUUGCUUAAGGCCAGGUUGGAUGGGGCCCUGGGCAAUCUUAUCUAGUACUUGAUCUAGUGGCUGGCAAUCCUGCCUGUAGCAGUGGAGUUGGAACUUUAUGAUUCUUGAGGUCCCUUCCAGCCUAAACCAUUCUAUGAUUCUAUGAAAACUUUCUGAAAGACUCCUGCUCUUAGGAACAGAGAAAUACAAAUUUGUAUUCACGUCUCAUUCAGACUUCUGACUUAAUGCCACAGCAAACCUUGUCAUCAUUUACAGGUUUACAUUUCGUAUUUUCUUUUCAUUAUGUCCUUUGGGAAGAAAAGGCUGAUCUCUGCAUUUUGCACUCUUUACUGUACAAAAGAAUGAAUGUUAUGCCUGUAGAGAUCUUAAAGCAACAAAUUUGGAUGGGAAAAUAAUUUUAACUUUUGGAUUCCAGCUCACGUGAAGAACCAAAAGAACAGUGUCAGCAAGCAGUCAGAUCAUAAUUUAUCCACAGACUCAACCUGAGUUGAAUUAAGUGAAGAGGCAAGCUAGAAUAGGAUUUGGAAUAUUAAGUCAAUUUUUACACCCUGUACAGCACAGGCUACUUUUAGCCUUCCGAAGGUCUAAUAAAAAGCUCUGGAAUGCUCUUACCACCCUGCUGUUCCACUCCUGUGCCUCUGAAUGCCCUGCAGGAAGAAAAAGCACUGUGAAAAUCUAUAGUUUGCCAAUGUAGAGAGGAUAAAAAAUGUUGCUCCUCCUUACCUGCUCCUGUGUCCAAACUACAGUAUAGGAAAAUGUGUAUGGGAAAUGUUAACAAAUAUAAUAGAAAGGGGAGAUAGGAACUACUGAGCAGGGUAGCACUUUCAGCAAUAUUAAUCUUUCAUUGCACACAGUUGUGUUCUCUGCACAUCACAGGAAUGAGAGCACCUUAGAGGGACAGCCAGGCAAGGACAGCACAGACACUGAACAUGAUCCUCUGCUGUGGCUCAAGAGUAGGCUUUGCUUGCACAUAUGCGGAUUUGGGACUAGACUACUCUAUUACUUCUUUUUUCUUUUUUCUGUGCUGGUCCCACAGCCAUGGUGGGAAGAAAAUGCUCCCUUGUAGUAGAUACAGUGGAGCAGCAGAGCUGGAACCACUCUUCAUAUUUUUCAAGAUAAGCAUUGCUUGGAUGCAUCCUUCUUUUUAUGCAUAGACAUAAACAUCAGUCCUCUAAGGUAUGGAUUUAAACCAAAACCAUCACACUGUUUGUUUUUGAGACAGCAGGGAGAAUAAUGUUUAAUUCUCCCUAAAAGUCUUUCAGGCUGAGCCCCUGAGAGCAGUAGCAGCAUUGGAAAAAAACGUAUAGUUAGAAUAUAUGUCACCCAUAGUGGCACUCAGCAGUGAGCUAGAGCAGAUAUGUAUAAGAUAUAUCUGCAGCUAGAUAUAGCUAGAGAAGAUGAAUUCAGAUUAUGUCAGGAGCCUCAAGUCUUCCUUUGAGGGAGAACUCAGGCAAGCAGCAGACUUCAGUGGAAACUGCUGGAGUUCAAUAACUAUGUGAUGAUGAUUACCAGUAUUAUCAAUCUUGGCUGAUUGAUUUGAAAAAGUGAGUGAUUUGAAAAAGGAGACCUUUCAUUAACUGUACAGGAGGCUAUCCCUAUGGCAGAUACGUAUCAUACUCUGUCAAAUAUAAUGCAAUUUGUCAAGUCUUAUGUUGCAAAUUAUGAUAUCUGCUUGAAACCCUAUUCGCAAGCAGCCAGCUGGCAAGUGCAUUGCACACUGGCCCAUCUUUUACCACAGUAACAGGAUCAUCCACAGAAGAAGCUUUUUUGUCCCUAUAGUGAAAGAAGAAAUGACCUCAUAUGAAUAAAGCCUCUAUCUGACCUGGAAUUUUAACAGUGGGAUAGAGAAAAGAAAAUACUUCUCUGGAAUCAACCAGAAAUGAUAGACCUCUGCUACUCCUAUGUUCAACUCAGACUGUGGAACAGGUGUGAUUACACCUCAGAAAUGAUGGUGAAGGAAUACAAGGAAAGGUUCUGAAAUACAAGGAAAUACAAGGAAUACAAGGAAAAUACAAGGAAAAAGGUUCUGAAAGUUAUUAUUAUGGAGAGGACUGCGAUCUACCUAACAAGAGGAUUGCCAGGACUAGCUGCCUUCUGGACCAGCUCUACAGAUUACCGGCUUCAGCAUCUUUCUGGUAACACCAGUUACUGUCCAUCUGAAAAAUGAUAAUGGCAAGGCACCAUAUUUUAAAUUUUCUGGGUAGCAGUUUUAAUCUGGAGUUUUCUUUGUAAGAAGAGUUUACAAUACAAUUGGUUUCUGGCUCCAAGAUUAUCGAUAAUUUUUCAUUACAAAAUAUCUCCUUUUUUCCCUGUUUAUGACAGAAGAAUCAGGCUUUCUUGUAAACUAAGUAUUCACUUUCUUUUCUCUGUCUCUCAAAGCAAUUACCCAUUAGAAUAACUUUGCUUGGAAAUUAACUUCUCUAUCCCUAUCAAUUUUAAAAGUUAUCAUCCCUGCUUUUCUCAAAGCUAGUCUACAGUCUGAACAAGAAAUAAUAGUUACAAAAACCUGUUGUUUCCUAAUCAGAGUGGUUUGUUUUGUUUUUUUUAAAAAGAAUCCUUUAACCCCUGAACCUUUCGAUUUUCUUUUCUGAGACAAUUACCAUUACUAUGUGUGCAGAAUGAGUUCCUGAGAGUUCAGAUGUCCACAGUGUCUUGGCUAUCUCUGCAGUACAAAAUCAGUUUCCCCUCUAGAUGGUAGAAGAGAACAAACUCCAAGGUACUCAUACUGCGAAAACUGGGAUGACAGUAGAGAAAAACAUUGUUGCCUGUGAAAGUAUACUGCAAAGAAGCUGAAAAGUCAUGCUACCUGAAAUUAACUUCUGGAUGUCCCGAUGGUUCCUAACUUGGAUAAACUUGCAACUAGAAUUUUGGAAUUUUUUUUAUGAAAAUCUUUCAGUGACUAUGAUUUGCUUUUACAUGAGUCUAUUCAUGCCCUUUCUUCGAACUACAAAAUUUAUUUAUUUGUUUGUUUGUUUGUUUAUUUAUUUAUUUAUUUGCUCCUUAAUAUAAAGCAUUACUUUGGUAGUUCUGGACAUCUGCUGUUUUCUUUAUUAUAUUCUUCUCUUGAUUUCCUUAAAUGCAGUUUAAGCUGGACUGAAAUCGACACUCAUCCAAUAAUAAUUGCAUAGGUCCUGAGGUAUUUCCAUGAGCCCUUAUGUUUCUCGUAUUACUUAUAAGUAAUUAAUUCUUACAAAACUUCAACUUAUGCAAUUUCUUAUUUUGUAAAUCACAAACCUUCUAAGUUUGUUGUUUCAAGCUGUAUUACUUACAGACUCUGCUCUCAAAAUAUUCCUCAGUAAACAGUAGCAAAGGUCACAAAAAGAUCUGAUAUAAAC
ensembl:lncRNA